CAGCCGCCACGGUAAUACGUAGGUCCCGAGCGUUGUCCGGAUUUAUUGGGCGUAAAGCGAGCGCAGGCGGUUUGAUAAGUCUGAAGUUAAAGGCUGUGGCUCAACCAUAGUUCGCUUUGGAAACUGUCAAACUUGAGUGCAGAAGGGGAGAGUGGAAUUCCAUGUGUAGCGGUGAAAUGCGUAGAUAUAUGGAGGAACACCGGUGGCGAAAGCGGCUCUCUGGUCUGUAACUGACGCUGAGGCUCGAAAGCGUGGGGAGCAAACAGGAUUAGAUACCCGUGUAGUCCCUGUCUCUUAUACA
rnacentral:rRNA from 1 species